AUUGAACGCUGGCGGCAGGCCUAACACAUGCAAGUCGAGCGGAUGAAGGGGGCUUGCUCCUGGAUUCAGCGGCGGACGGGUGAGUAAUGCCUAGGAAUCUGCCUGGUAGUGGGGGAUAACGUCCGGAAACGGGCGCUAAUACCGCAUACGUCCUGAGGGAGAAAGUGGGGGAUCUUCGGACCUCACGCUAUCAGAUGAGCCUAGGUCGGAUUAGCUAGUUGGUGGGGUAAGGGCCUACCAAGGCGACGAUCCGUAACUGGUCUGAGAGGGUGAUCAGUCACACUGGAACUGAGACACGGUCCAGACUCCUACGGGAGGAAGCAGUGGGGACUAUUGGACAAUGGGCGAAAGCCUGAUCCAGCCAUGCCGCGUGUGUGAAGAAGGUCUUCGGAUUGUAAAGCACUUUAAGUUGGGAGGAAGGGCAGUAAGUUAAUCCCUUGCUGUUUUGACGUUACCAACAGAAUAAGCCCCGGCUAACUUCGUG
rnacentral:rRNA from 1 species